rnacentral:lncRNA from 1 species
UUUUCUUAGAGAUGGGGAAUCAGAAUUCGAAGUAAGAGAAACAACUUUUAUUUAUUGUGCCUGGAUACACCUUUUAAUGUAUAGUCUUACACAACGAUAAACCAUAACUGGUAUUGCAGGUGUCACGCACCUUGUGCUGAAUAUACAAUGUUUGUCCUUGGAUAUACCAUUGAUAUACAGUCUUACAACGAUCACAUGCCUAUAAUAUAUCUGAGAAGAUUUACAACGAACAAGGUUCAGUCUUCCACUUUUGAAUAAUCAAAGAGCAAGCUUGCAACAAGGUAAGUCAAUCUAAAAAAGAUACUUCGAUUGAAUGUUAUUUAUUGGUUUGGUCGCCACUCGCCAGUGAAAGGUCUUUUGCUACUAUUUUGGGUUGCCACUGGAUCCACUUUCUGCUGAUGUUUCUGGAUGCAGUUGAAGCCACUUAUGCUGCUGCUUCUUGGAUGUUACUACAAAUAUCUUUAAAGUUUCUCUGGAUGCGAUUGGAACUACUUUUGUUGCUCUUUUUCUAGAUGUUGUUGCAGUCCUUUUUUGUUGUUGUACUAUUAGGUUAGUCCAUGUGGUUACACAUCAAACUCUUCAGUACUUUUAACUUCUAAGAUCCAGGUCCAUUCAUUUUUGUUUCCUUCUGUAUAUGCUCUAUAUUCUCCGGCUUUAGUUUCGAGCAGUCUUACUAAAGAUACUUAGUAUCAAAAUUAAACUAUGAUAUCCCUUGAAAACAACUAUCGCAACUAGGGGUUGAAAGGGGUAUGCUAUGCAGCUCUUUUGUG